AAGGCAGAGAUGCGAAGGGGGCAGAGAGGCAAAGGGGAGGGAUGUAAAUGAGAGAGGUGCAAAGGGGGAGGUGAAAAGGGAGGGAUAAAAGGGGAGGGAUGCAAAAGCAGAGUUGCAAAGAGGAGGAAUGCGAAGGGAAGAGAUGGACGGAACGGAGAGUGCAAAGAGGCAAGAUGGAAAAGAGAAGAGAUGAGAAGGGCAAAGCACACUCCGGGGUGAGGGUAGCUACUGCCGGGCACCCCCCAGCCCCAGGGUGGGCACUGGUGGCACCCAGGGCUGUGAGAGGUGAAGGGGUGGCUCGUAGGGUGACGGCAGUACAAGGGUCCCAGGGGAGCAGUGCGGUGCUCACAGCUCCUGCUGGGAACGAAGAGCCUGGGAAAACGAAGAUGCAUGUGUGUGCUGGGAAGCUUGUAACCCUGAUCACCCACUUCUCCCGUUUGAAAUGAGGAUGGAUAAAACUUGCAAGCGGAGAAGAGCAGCUCUUCCCAGCAGCCUGCAACUGUUUCUCGAAAUAUAUCUGGUGAGCAAGAGUGGGUUUGUAGGCAUUUUGAAGAUACAGCAGGUGUCCAUGGAACUGACUUCAGAGCUGAAUGAGCUGCAAGGAGGUCUUGGCCAUGACUCUGGAGCAGAUGCUAUAGAGACCAGAGAUGAGCUCCAGAUUUCAGAGCCUGGUCUCCAAAAAGCCAUGAAGAGGGCAGCACCACCACUUCUGUUUGGUUUUCUGCUCCUUUAGCCAAGAACCACAUUUAUUCUGGUGGCCAGCAUCAUUACAUAAGUAUGCAGCUGUUUUCACUGGUCACUUCUGAAGAUGAAUUGUACUGGCAAAGUACACUUCGAUCAUAGCUCAGUCAAGUGAAGGCAAUUCUGGCCUAGUUUUGGGCCACAACUAUCACCUCUCCAGCACCCAUACACUCACACUGGGUCUCUCCAGCUUCAGGAUCACAAGAGAGCAAUGAUGAAAGGGAUGCUGUACGUGUCCAAGUCCUAAUGUAGCAGUGGUACUGUAGGAUUUUGGCUUCUUGUCUAGAAAUAAAAAGAUGGAUAUGUGAAA